rnacentral:tRNA from 1 species
GGGGGUUUAGCUCAGUGUCAUAAGUGCCUGCCUUGAAAGCAGGCAGUCCUGAGUUUGAUCCUCAGUACUGAUA